rnacentral:rRNA from 1 species
AUUGAACGCUGGCGGCAUGCCUUACACAUGCAAGUCGAACGGUAACAGGUUAAGCUGACGAGUGGCGAACGGGGGAGUAAUGUAUCGGAACGUGCCCAGUCGUGGGGGAUAACUGCUCGGAAGAGCAGCUAAUACCGCAUACGACCUGAGGGUGAAAGCGGGGGAUCGCAAGACCUCGCGCGAUUGGAGCGGCCGAUAGCAGUUUAGGUGGUUGGUGGGGUAAAGGCCUACCAAGCCUACGAUCUGUAGCUGGUCUGAGAAGACGACCAGCCACACUGGGACUUAGACACGGCCCAGACUCCUACGGGAGGCAGCAGUGGGGAAUUUUGGAUAAUGGACGCAAGUCUGAGCCAGCCAUGCCGCGUGCGGGAAGAAGGCCUUCGGGUUGUAAGCCGCUUUUGUCAGGGAAGAAAAGGUUCUGGUUAAUACCUGGGACUCAUGGCGGUACCUGAAGAAUAAGCACCGGCUAACUACGUGCCAGCCGCCGCCGUAACAC